UAAAAAAAAAAAUAUAUGGAUGUGGGUUAUCUUGAUACUAAAUGGUAUAUACUAAAUUUUGUGAACUUGUAUAAUUAUUAAUAUUUAUGUCAUAGUAAGGUUUUCUAGUUAAAAGUAGAUUUUAAGUCAGAUUUUUCAAUACUUGCUUCAGUACUUUUAAUUUGUUUUUGUCUCUCUUCAUAGUUUGAUGCUGCAAAAUUAAGAAAGCUAAGACCAAGUUUCAAGUAGAACGAGGGUUCUGUUACUGCUGGCAAUGCUUCAAUCAUAAGUGAUGGUGCAGCUGCAUUAGUCCUAGUGAGUGGAGAGAAGGCACUUCAACUUGGAUUGCAAGUAAUUGCAAAGAUUAAGGGCUAUGCUGAUGCAGCUCAGGAUGGAAGGAGCAAUGUGCCAAGUACUCUCCUUACUCCACAUACUUUGAGGGCAGACUCAGCUCUGGCAUGCCCAACUCUGUGUACAACCAAAGUAACAACUCAGAAAAUGGAAACCAUUCGGUAGUUGGACAAACUGCAGAAUCUCUUGCAUCAAACGAUAAGCUCGAGGCAUUUAAAGAUCUUACCAUCUAACUAUGAUGUUGAGGCCGAUGUUCAGUUAAAACAUUUUUAGAGUUGCAAUCUCUUGUAUUAUUAUCCCUUAAUUUGGCUGAAUUUCCUUCUCCAGAGGUUGCAACAAUAAUUACUGGACAAGCCUAGUACUCUUCCAUUUGAUGAGGUAUGUUUUUCUUACUAGAAGUGCUACUUU